rfam:TPA: Bos taurus chromosome 7, whole genome shotgun sequence.
UCCCUGGUGGUCUAGUGGCUAGGAUUUGGCACUUUCACCACCGUGGCCCGGGUUCAAUUCCCGGUCAGGGAA